UCAAUUGUGCCCCGUCUCCCAGUUCAAG
rnacentral:sRNA from 1 species